GUCCUGUUGCUAAAAACGACAACUUUAAGUAGCGUUUGAUUCGGGUAUAAGCAAAAACUAGCUAUUACAAAAGAUAGGUACAAGUAUGGGGAUAAGAAAAAUAGCGUUUGAAUAGAUAGUAUGGAAUAAGAAAAGAAAAAUGGUGGGUAGUUAUAUAUAGAAAAUAGAAGUGUUGGUGAGGAUAGUUAUACCAGCUUAUUUCAGGUACCCAAGAACUAGUAUUCUCGGAUAAAAAAUUUGCAUUUGGGUAUAAAGGGGGGAUAAGGGGUUAUCCCUCUCCUUAUCCCCCAUCCAAACGAUGCAUUAUAAUAUAUCU
rnacentral:lncRNA from 1 species